UCACAAUCUCUGAAUGUAUCAGAACGUUGAAUAUAUGUAUAUGUAUACAACUUUCAGCAAUGGAUCUCUUGGCUCUCGCAUCGAUGAAGAACGCAGCGAAAUGCGAUAAGUAAUGUGAAUUGCAGAAUUCAGUGAAUCAUCGAAUCUUUGAACGCAUCUUGCGCUCCUUGGUAUUCCGAGGAGCAUGCCUGUUUGAGUGUCAUUCA
rnacentral:rRNA from 1 species